CUCUCUCUCUCUCUCUCUCUCUCUCUCUCUCUCUCUCUCUCUCUCUCUCUCUCUCUCACACACACACACACACACAUCUUUGAACCCAGAUCUGAUCUCGAUUUAAGAAGUAGAUCGAUUCCAGUAAGAAGUCGCAUGGGUGAAAUGGGUCUUCAUCUAUGUCCCGCGCGCUGGAGACAAAGUUUACUACUUCCCUCAAGGCCACACUGAACAUCAGACGAAUGGGAAGAUGAAGAGAAAGGGAAGAUGGAGAAAUGAAGACUAAUUCUGGAGUGAACAACUAUAUUUUUUAUAUUGUAUGAACAAUUAUAUUUUGAAAUGACAAAGAACCUUUCAUUGUAUUUAAUGUUUCGGUUUGAUAGGUU